AGCAGUAGCCACGGUAAUACAGAGGGUGCAAGCGUUAAUCGGAAUUACUGGGCGUAAAGCGCGCGUAGGUGGUUUGUUAAGUUGGAUGUGAAAGCCCCGGGCUCAACCUGGGAACUGCAUCCAAAACUGGCAAGCUAGAGUACGGUAGAGGGUGGUGGAAUUUCCUGUGUAGCGGUGAAAUGCGUAGAUAUAGGAAGGAACACCAGUGGCGAAGGCGACCACCUGGACUGAUACUGACACUGAGGUGCGAAAGCGUGGGGAGCAAACAGGAUUAGAUACCCCCGUAGUCCCUGUCUCUUAUAC
rnacentral:rRNA from 1 species